rnacentral:rRNA from 1 species
CCUGGCUCACCAUUAGGCUAGCUACAGGCUUAACACAUGCAAGUCGAGGGGCUGCAUGGUCUUAGCUUGCUAAGGCCGAUGGCGACCGGCGCACGGGUGAGUAACACGUAUCCAACCUGCCGUCUACUCUUGGACAGCCUUCUGAAAGGAAGAUUAAUACAAGAUGGCAUCAUGAGUCCGCAUGUUCACAUGAUUAAAGGUAUUCCGGUAGACGAUGGGGAUGCGUUCCAUUAGAUAGUAGGCGGGGUAACGGCCCACCUAGUCUUCGAUGGAUAGGGGUUCUGAGAGGAAGGUCCCCCACAUUGGAACUGAGACACGGUCCAAACUCCUACGGGAGGCAGCAGUGAGGAAUAUUGGUCAAUGGGCGAGAGCCUGAACCAGCCAAGUAGCGUGAAGGAUGACUGCCCUAUGGGCUGUAAACUUCUUUUAUAAAGGAAUAAAGUCGGGUAUGGAUACCCGUUUGCAUGUACUUUAUGAAUAAGGAUCGGCUAACUCCGUGCCAGCAGCCGCGGUAAUACGGAGGAUCCGAGCGUUAUCCGGAUUUAUUGGGUUUAAAGGGAGCGUAGAUGGAUGUUUAAGUCAGUUGUGAAAGUUUGCGGCUCAACCGUAAAAUUGCAGUUGAUACUGGAUAUCUUGAGUGCAGUUGAGGCAGGCGGAAUUCGUGGUGUAGCGGUGAAAUGCUUAGAUAUCACGAAGAACUCCGAUUGCGAAGGCAGCCUGCUAAGCUGCAACUGACAUUGAGGCUCGAAAGUGUGGGUAUCAAACAGGAUUAGAUACCCUGGUAGUCCACACGGUAAACGAUGAAUACUCGCUGUUUGCGAUAUACUGCAAGCGGCCAAGCGAAAGCGUUAAGUAUUCCACCUGGGGAGUACGCCGGCAACGGUGAAACUCAAAGGAAUUGACGGGGGCCCGCACAAGCGGAGGAACAUGUGGUUUAAUUCGAUGAUACGCGAGGAACCUUACCCGGGCUUAAAUUGCAGAUGAAUUACGGUGAAAGCCGUAAGCCGCAAGGCAUCUGUGAAGGUGCUGCAUGGUUGUCGUCAGCUCGUGCCGUGAGGUGUCGGCUUAAGUGCCAUAACGAGCGCAACCCUUGUUGUCAGUUACUAACAGGUUCCGCUGAGGACUCUGACAAGACUGCCAUCGUAAGAUGUGAGGAAGGUGGGGAUGACGUCAAAUCAGCACGGCCCUUACGUCCGGGGCUACACACGUGUUACAAUGGGGGGUACAGAGGGCCGCUACCACGCGAGUGGAUGCCAAUCCCCAAAACCUCUCUCAGUUCGGACUGGAGUCUGCAACCCGACUCCACGAAGCUGGAUUCGCUAGUAAUCGCGCAUCAGCCACGGCGCGGUGAAUACGUUCCCGGGCCUUGUACACACCGCCCG